CUAAUUAUUUACUUCUCCCUCCUCCUCUUCUCACAGUGCAGGCCCCCCCGGAGUGUUUGACGGAUGAGCUGAAUUCCUAUCAAAGAGAUACUGAUGUUGGCUGCCUGCAGCGCCCGCCGGCAUUAGCACUGAUGUUUGACACUGUCGGCUUCGAUCAUUAAUUAUGUACAGGUACAUCUGAAGACAGCUCGUUGGGAAGACUUGAGUACAGAAUGUAGAUUGUCAACCAGGCCGCAUUUGCUAUUUGUUUAGUGUCUGUCUUGCCUCCUGCUAGAUAAUAAGCUUCCCGAGACCAGAAGCCCAUCUCCCUUCUUCCCUGCUGCCUUCAGGUAAUGCCUGAACACAAUGGUUACUCCGUACUCACUGAAUGAACAAAUAACCCAAUGUCUAUGGCUUUUCUUAGUUACGGAGGUUCUCCUGUUUCCUCUCAAAUUAUUUGAAGCCCUGGUUUAACCGGGCGGGUUGCCACACAGCUAAAAGAUGACUGACGUUCCUCAGUCUUUCUCUCUUAUAGGGAGAUGUGGCCACAUGGCUAAGUUUUGGCCAAGGAAGGGUAAACUGCCAUGUCGGUGGGACUUCCAAGCUGAGAUGUGAUGGCUGGAGCUGCAAAACCAUCCUGGAUAAUGAGGAAGAGGCCAAACCAUAGGAACAGGGGAGCAGAAUCCUGAAGGAGCCCAGGUCCCUCACAACGGUGAGGCCGACACCCCAGCCCUGGACUGCCGGCCUCCAGCUCUUCCAUGUGCCUAUUUUAUGACAUCUUGACCUUGCUGACUCUGAUUUUGCCACUGUAGACAAAUGAUGAUACAGGGGCCGUCAGACACUAGCACAGAUAGGAAAAUGCCAUCAAACCCCCCAGAGAGCCCAAGUCCAAGAGAUUUCAUUUUAUUCAUUAUCAAACCUUAUCAAAUGCUUAUCAAAAGAGGAUCAGAAACCAUGAAUAAGAAACAUGAAGAGGAUAUCUGUGGAACUCCGUGCUUAUCAAGGUUCUGUGAAAUUCACAUUAAAAUUCUGCUUUCCAUAUGUGUAAAUGAAAAAAGACUAAUUUUAAUUUGUGUAGACUGGAGCCUUAAAGCAGCGUACUCUCUAAGCAGGCAGCAGUAACUUAAUCCUCCAUUCCAAACUAAUUACAUUAGAAUCAUUCUGAUUGGGACCCACGGCUCCCUUUGAUGUUAAACUCCUUUUGCCUUUCAUCCACAAUCAUUCUCUGGGCAAGAGAGAAUGAUUCUUCCCCACACCCUCCCAAUCCUGCUAGAUCAUGAAGCUAUGGCUCUUGAAGUUCAAUUUUAUUUUGAUGAAACACCAAGGGACUGAAAAUUAUUUUUCACUGAAGAAGACUGACUUUGGUCUGAAAACUGCAGGAAGAAUUCUAAGUGUGACAGAAUGUAGCACAUCCAACACCAAGAAUAGCAUUUUUCCUUCACAAAGUUUACUCACGUGUGAAAGAACUUGCUGAAUGCACUCAUUACACCAUAAGCUCUCCUCCCCUCCCACCCCUCCCCUGGCCCCAGUGGGUUUGUCCAUCAUGUUUCUUACCCUUUUGACAAAGCAUUACCCAGGGGCUCACUCAGUGCUCAACUCCAAGGGGGUCUCACCUUUCUCUGGUAAUAGAUAAACUGAAACACGAUAAGAUUUUCAA